GCGAGAGUGGCGGAACUGGCAGACGCGCGAGACUUAGGAUCUCGUGGGCACAACCGUGGGGGUUCGAGUCCCCCCUCUCGCACCA
rnacentral:tRNA from 1 species